rnacentral:rRNA from 1 species
CUGCAUGAAGCUGGAAUCGCUAGUAAUCGCAGAUCAGAAUGCUGCGGUGAAUACGUUCCCGGGUCUUGUACACACCGCCCGUCACACCAUGGGAGUUGGAAAUGCCCGAAGUCAGUGACCGAACCGAAAGGAAGGAGCUGCCGAAGGUGGAGCCGAUGACUGGGGUGAAGUCGUAACAAGGUAAC